rnacentral:piRNA from 1 species
UGAGCCUGAAGACCUGUUGUAAGGUGA